rnacentral:rRNA from 1 species
GAUGAACGCUGGCGGCGUGCCUAAUACAUGCAAGUCGAGCGAACGGACGAGAAGCUUGCUUCUCUGAUGUUAGCGGCGGACGGGUGAGUAACACGUGGAUAACCUACCUAUAAGACUGGGAUAACUUCGGGAAACCGUAGCUAAUACCGGAUAAUAUUUUGAACCGCAUGGUUCAAAAGUGAAAGACGGUCUUGCUGUCACUUAUAGAUGGAUCCGCGCUGCAUUAGCUAGUUGGUAAGGUAACGGCUUACCAAGGCAACGAUGCAUAGCCGACCUGCGAGGGGGAUCGGCCACAGUGGAACUGAGACACGGUCCAGACUCCUACGGGAGGCAGCAGUAGGGAAUCUUCCGCAAUGGGCGAAAGCCUGACGGAGCAACGCCGCGUGAGUGAUGAAGGUCUUCGGAUCGUAAAACUCUGUUAUUAGGGAAGAACAUAUGUGUAAGUAACUGUGCACAUCUUGACGGUACCUAAUCAGAAAGCCACGGCUAACUACGUG